rnacentral:rRNA from 1 species
AUUGAACGCUGGCGGCAGGCCUAACACAUGCAAGUCGAACGAGUGGCGGACGUGUGAGUAAUGUAUGGGAAACUGCCCGAUGGGGGGGCAUAUCUACUGGACACGGUAUCUAAUACCGCAUACCAUCGGAUGUGCCCAGAUGGGAGUAGCUAGUAGGUGGGGUAACGGCCCACCUAGGCGACGAUCCCUAGCUGGUCGGAGAGGAUGACCAGCCACACGGGAAGUGAGACACGGUCCAUGGUCCUACGGGAGGCAGCAAUGGGAAAUAUGGCACAAUGGGGGCAAGCCUGAUGCAGCCAGGCCGCGUGUAUGGAGAAGGCCUUGGGGUUGGAAAGUACUUUCAGCGAGGAGGCGUUACUCGCAGAAGAAGCACCGGCUAACUCCGUGCCAGCCGCCGCGGUAAUUC